ensembl:lncRNA
AAAAGGAGAGAUCUGAUUCACCAACACCACAUCUGUCUUUGAGGAGUGAGAGAUCAGUUCCAGUACCACUGGGCUUCAGCAGAGAAGCACAGACAAAUAUAAAAAGAAAGCUGUGUGUGGAAGACACAGAAGAGCAGACAGAGUCCACACCUGCUAAAGGAGUCUGUCAGCAGCACCACAGAGAUCUGGAAGUGUUCUGUAAGACAGAUAACAUGUACAUCUGUGCCAGAUGUGUGGGGCAAGAGCACCAAGGACAUAGUAAAAUCUAUACUGUGAAACCUAAUGUGCCAGAAGGUCAAACCUUGCUCCAUCAUGUCUUGAGAUAGAACUAUCAAAGGAUUACCCAGAAUACUUAGGGAGUAAGCCGGAAGAGCUCAGUGUCUCUGAUGUUGCUGUGAAAAUAGUGGAGUACUUUGGAGGAGAGACAGCACUGGGAAUCACAUUACACUUCCAGGCAAAUGUUAAUCCACUUCAAAAAAAAAAAAAAAAAAAUCACAGAAGCCAAUAAAGCAAACCUUCAGGUCAAAUGUCAGCAUAUAAAUGAAGGAAAAUCAUCUCAAGGUUCAUUGAAGGAGAUCUAUACGGAUCUGUACAUGACAGAGGGUGGGAGUGGAGAGAUAAAUAAUGAACAUAAGGUGUUGAGGAAUGAACUGAUUUCACAAAGCAGAACCACUCCAGAAAGUCUUCUUAUAUGUAAUGACAUCUUCAAGACACUGCCAGAACAAAGCAAACAAAUCAGAGCAGUCCUGACGAUGGGUAUAUUUGGCAGUGCAGAAGUUCAUUCUAGACUGGGCAGAUGGAAAAGCAAACCAAGAUAUCAAUGUCAUCAUC